GAUUAAAUUUAGCUUUCGGGUGCCGAGACCAUUCCAGGUCUCGCUUAAACAGGAAGUCGGUGAUGUUCACGCAAAAGCCGACGCUGCCCCCGCAACGGUAGAUAAGUUAAGAAUCGGGCAAAUGCCACUGUGCUGAUGCAUGGGAAGGUGCCCGAUUCCGGCGCAAGCCGCUUAUGAGUCCGGAGACUGGCCUGAAAGCAUAUUCGAGA
rnacentral:ncRNA from 2 species